rnacentral:lncRNA from 1 species
AAAAUUCGCAGGGCAGGGAUCAAAUAUCUGUGACAGGCAAACAAAUUAUUUCUUUAUUUUGUGCCCUUUGGAAUUGUCAAGAAUAUGACGUGCACUAAGGGCAAUAUUGUAAGCGGUGCAAUUAGGAUCGAAUCGGUGUGGCGCAAUAUUGUACAUGGUGGUUUUAGGAUCUCUCAACAUUGCUCCUUUUUUCCUCCCGUUAUUAUCUUUUUCCCUUUCCCCACUUUAAACUAUUCCUCACCUUUUGACCAUAUGUAUAGGGGGAAAAAAUGAAAAAUUUGAUGUCAAUGUAUGAAUACAAGCGACAUCAUCAUUUCUUUCCAAUUAUUUAAAUAAUUAAUAUGGGAUUAAACUUAAGUUCUUGAUAGUCUAGG